rnacentral:rRNA from 1 species
CAGUCGCCGCGGUAAUACGAAGGGGGCUAGCGUUGUUCGGAAUUACUGGGCGUAAAGGGCGCGUAGGCGGCCAUUCAAGUUAGAUGUGAAAGCCCUGGGCUCAACCUAGGAAUUGCAUUUGAUACUGUUUGGCUUGAGUUCGGGAGAGGUGAGUGGAAUUCCCAGUGUAGAGGUGAAAUUCGUAGAUAUUGGGAAGAACACCAGUGGCGAAGGCGGCUCACUGGACCGACACUGACGCUGAGGCGCGAAAGCGUGGGGAGCAAACAGGAUUAGAUACCCCCGUAGUCCCUGUCUCUUAUCC